UGGGGAAUAUUGGGCAAUGGGGGAAACCCUGACCCAGCAACGCCGCGUGAGGGAAGAAGGUUUUCGGAUUGUAAACCUCUGUAAUCGGGGACGAACAAAUGACGGUACCCGAGAAGUAAGCUCCGGCUAACUACGUGCCAGCAGCCGCGGUAAUACGUAGGGAGCAAGCGUUGUCCGGAAUUACUGGGCGUAAAGGGUGCGUAGGCGGUUUUUUAAGUCAGAUGUGAAAUACCGGAGCUCAACUCCGGGGGUGCAUUUGAUACUGGGAGACUAGAGUGCAGGAGAGGAAAGCGGAAUUCCUAGUGUAGCGGUGAAAUGCGUAGAUAUUAGGAGGAACACCAGUGGCGAAGGCGGCUUUCUGGACUGUAACUGACGCUGAGGCACGAAAGCGUGGGGAGCAAACA
rnacentral:rRNA from 1 species